rnacentral:misc_RNA from 1 species
AAAUGCGAUAAGUAAUGCGAAUUGCAGAAUUCAGUGAAUCAUCGAAUCUUUGAACGCACAUUGCGCUCCUUGGUAUUCCUUGGAGCAUGCCUGUUUGAGUAUCAUGAAAUCUUCAAAGUAAAUCUUUUGUUAACUCAAUUGGUUUCUACUUUGGUAUUGGAGGUCUUUGCAGCUUCACACCUGCUCCUCUUUGUUCAUUAGCUGGAUCUCAGUGUUAUGCUUGGUUCCACUCGGCGUGAUAAGUUAUCUAUCGCUGAGGACACUGUAAAAGGUGGCCAAGGUAAAUGCAGAUGAACCGCUUCUAAUAGUCCAUUGACUUGGACAAUACUUUUAUGAUCUGAUCUCAAAUCAGGUAGGACUACCCGCUGAACUUAAGC